rnacentral:tRNA from 1 species
GGGUAGAGCAGUUGGUAGCUCGUCGGGCUCAUAACCCGGAGGUCGCAGGUUCAAAUCCUGCCUCC